rnacentral:rRNA from 1 species
CUACGUGCCAGCAGCCGCGGUAAUACGUAUGUCACAAGCGUUAUCCGGAUUUAUUGGGCGUAAAGCGCGUCUAGGUGGUUAUGUAAGUCUGAUGUGAAAAUGCAGGGCUCAACUCUGUAUUGCGUUGGAAACUGCAUGACUAGAGUACUGGAGAGGUAAGCGGAACUACAAGUGUAGAGGUGAAAUUCGUAGAUAUUUGUAGGAAUGCCGAUGGGGAAGCCAGCUUACUGGACAGAUACUGACGCUAAAGCGCGAAAGCGUGGGUAGCAAACAGGAUUAGAUACCCUGGUAGUCCACGCCGUAAACGAUGAUUACUAGGUGUUGGGGGUCGAACCUCAGCGCCCAAGCUAACGCGAUAAGUAAUCCGCCUGGGGAGUACGUACGCAAGUAUGAAACUCAAAGGAAUUGACGGGGGCCCGCACAAGCGGAGGAACAUGUGGUUUAAUUCGAUGAUACGCGAGGAACCUUACCCGGG